UAGAGGAAGUAAAAGUCGUAACAAGGUCUCCGUUGGUGAACCAGCGGAGGGAUCAUUA
rnacentral:ncRNA from 48 species